AGAGUUUGAUCAUGGCUCAGAUUGAACGCUGGCGGCAGGCCUAACACAUGCAAGUCGAGCGGUAGCACAGAGAGCUUGCUCUCGGGUGACGAGCGGCGGACGGGUGAGUAAUGUCUGGGAAACUGCCUGAUGGAGGGGGAUAACUACUGGAAACGGUAGCUAAUACCGCAUAAUGUCGCAAGACCAAAGUGGGGGACCUUCGGGCCUCAUGCCAUCAGAUGUGCCCAGAUGGGAUUAGCUAGUAGGUGGGGUAACGGCUCACCUAGGCGACGAUCCCUAGCUGGUCUGAGAGGAUGACCAGCCACACUGGAACUGAGACACGGUCCAGACUCCUACGGGAGGCAGCAGUGGGGAAUAUUGCACAAUGGGCGCAAGCCUGAUGCAGCCAUGCCGCGUGUGUGAAGAAGGCCUUCGGGUUGUAAAGCACUUUCAGCGGGGAGGAAGGCGUUAAGGUUAAUAACCUUGUCGAUUGACGUUACCCGCAGAAGAAGCACCGGCUAACUCCGUGCCAGCAGCCGCGGUAAUACGGAGGGUGCAAGCGUUAAUCGGAAUUACUGGGCGUAAAGCGCACGCAGGCGGUCUGUCAAGUCGGAUGUGAAAUCCCCGGGCUCAACCUGGGAACUGCAUUCGAAACUGGCAGGCUAGAGUCUUGUAGAGGGGGGUAGAAUUCCAGGUGUAGCGGUGAAAUGCGUAGAGAUCUGGAGGAAUACCGGUGGCGAAGGCGGCCCCCUGGACAAAGACUGACGCUCAGGUGCGAAAGCGUGGGGAGCAAACAGGAUUAGAUACCCUGGUAGUCCACGCCGUAAACGAUGUCGAUUUGGAGGUUGUGCCCUUGAGGCGUGGCUUUCGGAGCUAACGCGUUAAAUCGACCGCCUGGGGAGUACGGCCGCAAGGUUAAAACUCAAAUGAAUUGACGGGGGCCCGCACAAGCGGUGGAGCAUGUGGUUUAAUUCGAUGCAACGCGAAGAACCUUACCUGGUCUUGACAUCCACAGAACUUUCCAGAGAUGGAUUGGUGCCUUCGGGAACUGUGAGACAGGUGCUGCAUGGCUGUCGUCAGCUCGUGUUGUGAAAUGUUGGGUUAAGUCCCGCAACGAGCGCAACCCUUAUCCUUUGUUGCCAGCGGUUAGGCCGGGAACUCAAAGGAGACUGCCAGUGAUAAACUGGAGGAAGGUGGGGAUGACGUCAAGUCAUCAUGGCCCUUACGACCAGGGCUACACACGUGCUACAAUGGCAUAUACAAAGAGAAGCGACCUCGCGAGAGCAAGCGGACCUCAUAAAGUAUGUCGUAGUCCGGAUUGGAGUCUGCAACUCGACUCCAUGAAGUCGGAAUCGCUAGUAAUCGUAGAUCAGAAUGCUACGGUGAAUACGUUCCCGGGCCUUGUACACACCGCCCGUCACACCAUGGGAGUGGGUUGCAAAAGAAGUAGGUAGCUUAACCUUCGGGAGGGCGCUUACCACUUUGUGAUUCAUGACUGGGGUGAAGUCGUAACAAGGUAACCGUAGGGGAACCUGCGGUUGGAUCACCU
rnacentral:rRNA from 1 species